rnacentral:rRNA from 1 species
AUAUCAAUAAGCGGAGGAAAAGAAACUAACAAGGAUUCCCCUAGUAACGGCGAGUGAAGCGGGAAGAGCACAAAUUUAAAAUCUACCUGGUUUUCAGGUCGAGUUGUAAUUUGAAGAUACGUUUUUGACGUUCCGGGUUGGACUAAAUCCUUUGGGAUAAGGUAUCAUAGAGGGUGAGAAUCCCGUAUAUACCAACGUAGGGAUGUUAUUAAAUACGUUUUUAAGAGUCGAGUUGUUUGGGAAUGCAGCUCUAAAUGGGUGGUAAAUUUCACCUAAUGCUAAAUAUAAGCGAGAGACCGAUAGCGAACAAGUACAGUGAUGGAAAGAUGAAAAGAACUUUGAAAAGAGAGUUAAAUAGUACGUGAAAUUGUUGAAAGGGAAACGAUUAAAGUCAGUCAUGCGAGUGGGAAUCAACUUAGUGGAAACUCUGGGUGCACUUCUUCGCUUGGCAGGUCAACGUCGAUUUCGAAUGUCAUAAAAUGAUUGGGGGCAGGUAGCUCCUUCGAGAGUGUUAUAGCCCUUGAUAGAUGUGAUGUUUGGGAUCGAGGAUUGCAACGGAUACCCUUUGGGGCUAGCCGCCUGAUCUCUAUUCGGUGUUGGGUUAUGGACAGCAUGCUGACCGUGAUCUAAUUACUGGUUAAAAGGUUAGAGCGUGCAUAAAUUCGUUAAGGACGUUGACGUAAUGGCUUUAAACGACCCGUCUUGAAACACGGACCAAGGAGUCUAACAUGUAUGCGAGUGUUAGGGUAUUAAACCCAGACGCGAAAUGAAAGUGAGUGUAGGUGGGAUCCUUUAUUGGAGCACCAUCGACCGAUCUUGAGAUUUAUCGAUAGAAUUGAGUUAGAGCAUACCUGUUGGGACCCGAAAGAUGGUGAACUAUGCCUGAAUAGAGCGAAGCCAGAGGAAACUCUGGUGGAGGCUCGUAGCGGUUCUGACGUGCAAAUCGAUCGUCAAAUUUGGGUAUAGGGGCGAAAGACUAAUCGAACCAUCUAGUAGCUGGUUCCUGCCGAAGUUUCCCUCAGGAUAGCAGAAACUCGUAACAGUUUUAUGAGGUAAAGCGAAUGAUUAGAGGCCUUAGGGUUGAAACAGCCUUAACCUAUUCUCAAACUUUAAAUAUGUAAGAAGCUAACAGGUUACUUAAUUGAACCUGGGCAAUCGAAUGAGAGUUUCUAGUGGGCCAUUUUUGGUAAGCAGAACUGGCGAUGCGGGAUGAACCGAACGUAAGGUUAAGGUGCCCAAAUUCACGCUCAUUUAGACACCACAAAAGGUGUUAGUUCAUCUAGACAGCAGGACGGUGGCCAUGGAAGUCGGAAUCCGCUAAGGAGUGUGUAACAACUCACCUGCCGAAUGAACUAGCCCUGAAAAUGGAUGGCGCUCAAGCGUGAUACCUAUACCUUACCGUUAGGGUUAAAUUGAAGCUCUGACGAGUAGGCAGGCGUGAAGGUCGUGGAGAAGUCAUGGGUGUAAACCUUGAUGGAACGGUCUUUAGUGCAGAUCUUGGUGAUAGUAGCAAAUAUUCAAAUGAGAACUUUGAAGACUGAAGUGGAGAAAGGUUCCAUGUGAACAGUGAUUGGACAUGGGUUAGUCGAUCCUAAGAGAUAGGGGAAUUCCGUUUUAAUGGGGACUAUUUUUAGUCACACCUAUCGAAAGGGAAGCAGGUUAAUAUUCCUGCACCUGAAUGCGGAUAAUUAAUACGGUAACGUUAACUGAACUUGGUUACGUCUGUGAGGGCUUCGGGAAGAGUUAUCUUUUCUUUUUAACUAUCUUUUACACCUUGGAAUUUCGGAUUAACCGGAGAUAAGGUAUAAAGGUAGGAAGAGCUUGACACUUAAGUCAGGUCCGAUGCGUUCUCAAGGACCCUUGAAAAACCAAGGGAAAGAUUUAUUUUCGCGUCAGGCCGUACUCAUAACCGC